GUAGGUGGCAAGCGUUGUCCGGAAUUAUUGGGCGUAAAGCGCGCGCAGGUGGUUCUUUAAGUCUGAUGUGAAAGACCCCCGGCUCAACCGGGGAGGGUCAUUGGAAACUGGGGAACUUGAGUGCAGGAGAGGAAAGUGGAAUUCCACGUGUAGCGGUGAAAUGCGUAGAUAUGUGGAGGAACACCAGUGGCGAAGGCGACUUUCUGGCCUGUAACUGACACUGAGGCGCGAAAGCGUGGGGAGCAAACAGGAUUAGAUACCCUGGUAGUCCACGCCGUAAACGAUGAGUGCUAAGUGUUGGGGGGGUUUCCGCCCCUCAGUGCUGCAGCUAACGCAUUAAGCACUCCGCCUGGGGAGUACGGUCGCAAAGACUG
rnacentral:rRNA from 1 species